AUUGAACGCUGGCGGCAGGCCUAACACAUGCAAGUCGAGCGGAUGAGAGGAGCUUGCUUCUCGACUCAGCGGCGGACGGGUGAGUAAUGCUUAGGAAUCUGCCUGGUAGUGGGGGACAACGUUUCGAAAGGAACGCUAAUACCGCAUACGUCCUACGGGAGAAAGCAGGGGACCUUCGGGCCUUGCGCUAUCAGAUGAGCCUAGGUCGGAUUAGCUAGUUGGUGAGGUAAUGGCUCACCAAGGCGACGAUCCGUAACUGGUCUGAGAGGAUGAUCAGUCACACUGGAACUGAGACACGGUCCAGACUCCUACGGGAGGCAGCAGUGGGGAAUAUUGGGCAAUGGGCGAAAGCCUGAUCCAGCCAUGCCGCGUGUGUGAAGAAGGUCUUCGGAUUGUAAAGCACUUUAAGUUGGGAGGAAGGGUUGUAGAUUAAUACUCUGCAAUUUUGACGCUACCGACAGAAUAAGCACCGGCUAACUCUGUGCCAGCAGCCGCCGUAAUAC
rnacentral:rRNA from 1 species